AUUACUACGGCAGGUGGCACUCAUAUAGGAGGCGCUUCUGGGGAAUCUUCCGCAAUGGGUGAAACCCUGACGGACCAAUGCCACGUGGAGGUAGAAGGCCCACGGGUCAUGAACUUCUUUUCCCGGAGAAUAACCAAUGACGGUAUCCGGGGAAUAACCGUCUGCUAACUCUGUGCCAGCAGCCGCGGUAAUAAUCGUCCACGUGCAA
rnacentral:rRNA from 1 species